rnacentral:rRNA from 1 species
GGGCGGUUUGAUCAUGGCUCAGGACGAACGCUGGCGGCGUGCUUAACACAUGCAAGUCGAGGGGGGUGGGGCAACCCACUCACCGGCGAACGGGUGCGUAACACGUGAGCGACUGGUCCUACAGGUGGGGGAUAGCCGGCCCAACGGCCGGGUAAUACCGCAUACGUUCCCUUGGGGGCAUCCCCGGGGGAGGAAAGCCUAACGGCGGCUGAGGAGGGGCUCGCGGCCUAUCAGCUAGUUGGCGAGGUAACGGCUCACCAAGGCAACGACGGGUAGCUGGUCUGAGAGGAUGGCCAGCCACAUUGGGACUGAGAAACGGCCCAGACUCCUACGGGAGGCAGCAGUGGGGAAUCUUGCGCAAUGGCCGAAAGGCUGACGCAGCGACGCCGCGUGUGGGAGGAAGCCCUUCGGGGUGUAAACCACUGUUGCCCGGGACGAACGGCGGGGAAUGCCCCGCGUGACGGUACCGGGUGAGGAAGCACCGGCUAACUCCGUGCCAGCAGCCGCGGUAAUAACCUAAAUAGC